ensembl:lncRNA
AGUUGGCGUCUAGUGAGCCCUCGUCCGCACGGAGUGACGGAGAACUGUUUCUCAGCGGAACGGAGAAGGCGACGGAAACCGUACAAUGCGUUAGUACGAGGAAACGGCAAUCCCGGCGAAAAGAAAACCAUUUCCCACACCUGAUCGUAUUCCCCGAGCCGGCCGAGGCGGCGGGGGGGACAUGGCUUGAUCGUAGGCGAAGUGUCGAGUGCUGUGUUCGGGAUUUUCUUGUAGCAGCAGAUUCUGCCGCCGCCACCAGGAACUUUUUUUCACUGUCGGCCCGACAGUGGCGGCGGCUCUCUCCCCGGAGCGGUGUCCCAUUUUGCCCCAUGCAAAACCUAACGGUCCCUGGCAGCCCCAACAACUUCAAUGUCACCUGCUCUUGCAACUGCACCGCUUCCCAGCCCCAGGGAAUGGAGAUAUGGCUUUGGACAUGAGCGGCAUGCAUUACAGUCAAUCACCGCCGUC